rnacentral:rRNA from 1 species
ACGAGUCCUUUACUGACGCUAAAGCUCGAAGGUGCGGGUAUCGAACAGGAUUAGAUACCCUGGUAGUCCGCACGGUAAACGAUGGAUGCCCGCUGUCGGCGACAGACUGUCGGCGGCCAAGCGAAAGCGUUAAGCAUCCCACCUGGGGAGUACGCCGGCAACGGUGAAACUCAAAGGAAUUGACGGGGGCCCGCGCAAGCGGAGGAACAUGUGGUUUAAUUCGAUGAUACGCGAGGAACCUUACCCGGGCUUGAACUGCAGCAGAACGAUCCAGAGAUGGUGAGGCCCUUCGGGGCUGCUGUGGAGGUGCUGCAUGGUUGUCGUCAGCUCGUGCCGUGAGGUGUCGGCUUAAGUGCCAUAACGAGCGCAACCCCUUUCGCCAGUUGCCAUCAGGUGAUGCUGGGCACUCCGGCGACACUGCCACCGCAAGGUGCGAGGAAGGUGGGGAUGACGUCAAAUCAGCACGGCCUUGACGUGCGGGGUGUACACACCCUGACAACGGGUGGUACAGAGAGUCGGCCAUGCGCAAGGCCGGUCCAAUCAAGAAAGCCAUCCUCAGUUCGGAUUGGGGUAUGCGACCCGACGCCAUGAGGCUGGAUG